rnacentral:rRNA from 1 species
GUGGGGAAUCUUGCGCAAUGGGCGAAAGCCUGACGCAGCCAUGCCGCGUGAAUGAUGAAGGUCUUAGGAUUGUAAAAUUCUUUCACCGGGGACGAUAAUGACGGUACCCGGAGAAGAAGCCCCGGCUAACUUAGUGCCAGCAGCCGAGGUAAUACGAAGGGGGCUAGCGUUGCUCGGAAUUACUGGGCGUAAAGGGCGCGUAGUCGGAUCGUUAAGUCAGGGGUGAAAUCCCAGAGCUCAACUCUGGAACUGCCCUUGAUACUGGCGAUCUUGAGUGUGAGAGAGGUAUGUGGAACUCCGAGUGUAGAGGUGAAAUUCGUAGAUAUUCGGAAGAACACCAGUGGCGAAGGCGACAUACUGGCUCAUUACUGACGCUGAGGCGCGAAAGCGUGGGGAGCAAACAGGAUUAGAUACCCGAGUAGUCC